AAGCACCGGCUAACUCCGUGCCAGCAGCCGCGGUAAUACGGAGGGUGCAAGCGUUAAUCGGAAUUACUGGGCGUAAAGCGCACGCAGGCGGUCUGUCAAGUCGGAUGUGAAAUCCCCGGGCUCAACCUGGGAACUGCAUCCGAAACUGGCAGGCUAGAGUCUUGUAGAGGGGGGUAGAAUUCCAGGUGUAGCGGUGAAAUGCGUAGAGAUCUGGAGGAAUACCGGUGGCGAAGGCGGCCCCCUGGACAAAGACUGACGCUCAGGUGCGAAAGCGUGGGGAGCAAACAGGAUUAGAUACC
rnacentral:rRNA from 1 species